UACGAAGGGGGCGAGCGUUGUUCGGAUUUACUGGGCGUAAAGGGCGCGUAGGCGGCCCUCCUAGUCGCGUGUGAAAGCCCCGGGCUCAACCUGGGAAUUGCGCGCGAAACGGGGGGGCUUGAGUUCGGAAGAGGAGAGUGGAAUUCCUGGUGUAGCGGUGAAAUGCGCAGAUAUCAGGAAGAACACCCGUGGCUAAGGCGGCUCUCUAGUACGGUACUGGACGCUGAGACGCGAAAGCGUGGGGAGCGAACAGG
rnacentral:rRNA from 1 species